AAACAGAAACCAGUUCAUGUCCUCGAUAGAAGAAACCAGAGGAUUUGAGUUUGUGUUAAACGAGGGAGGGUGGGCCCUUCAUGAACACCCCCGUCCCCCCUCCCCCCUGCCUAUGGAACUGUCAGGAUUCCAGAAACAAUCGAGCCUGGAGAAUGGGAGCCAGCAAGUGGGAGGUUUCCUGACGAGACAGAUGCUCGCGGCGGAUAAGAAGAGCAGAGAAGGCAGGAUGACAGCGAGGCCCACCGUCCAGGGGAACUCGCGGGGAGCAGAGGAUUCUGAAGGGAGCCCGAAGAGUCCCAUUCGGCAGCUACUGGAAAACGUAAAAUUGUAUGUGCAGCCCGCCGUUGUGGCUCUCACUGGGUUUCUAUCAGAGGGCGCUGGCCUAAAUUCAGGGAGCGCGCGCAGAAUGCAAGCCGCCGG